rnacentral:rRNA from 1 species
UACGUAGGGUGCGAGCGUUGUCCGGAAUUAUUGGGCGUAAAGGGCUCGUAGGCGGUUUGUCGCGUCGGGAGUGAAAUCCACUGGCUUAACUGGUGGCUUGCUUUUCGAUACGGGCAGACUGGAGGUAUGCAGGGGAGAACGGAAUUCCUGGUGUAGCGGUGAAAUGCGCAGAUAUCGGGAAGAACACCCGUGGCGAAGGCGGCCACUCUGGGACGGUACUGACGCUGAGACGCGAAAGCGUGGGGAGCGAACA